rnacentral:rRNA from 1 species
CGCAAGGGUGAGGAACGCGUGAGUAAUCUGCCCUCAAGUUGGGAACAGCUUCUGGAACGGAAAUUAAUACCGAAUGUGACCAUUGGAAGGCAUCUUCAGUGGUUAAGGCCGCAAGGUCGCUUGAGGAGGGGCUCGCGUCCCAUUAUGCUAGUUGGUGAGGUAACGGCCCACCAAGGCGAAGAUGGGUAGCUGGUCUGAGAGGACGAUCAGCCACACUGGGACUGAGAACUGCCCAGACUCCUACGGGAGGCUGCAGUCGAGAAUUUUGGGCAAUGGACGAAAGUCUGACCCAGCCAAUGCCGCGUGCGGGAUGAAGGUCUUCGGAUUGUAAACCGCUGUCAAGUGGGACGAAACAAAUGACGGUACCGCUGAAGGAAGUCACGGCUAACUACGUGCCAGCCGCAGC